rnacentral:rRNA from 1 species
CAGUACCGCGGGAAUACAGAGGGUGCGAGCGUUAAUCGGAAUUACUGGGCGUAAAGCGCGUGUAGGUGGUUCGCCAAGUUGGAUGUGAAAUCCCCGGGCUCAACCUGGGAACUGCAUCCAAAACUGGCGAGCUAGAGUAUGGUAGAGGGUGGUGGAAUUUCCUGUGUAGCGGUGAAAUGCGUAGAUAUAGGAAGGAACAUCAGUGGCGAAGGCGACCACCUGGACUGAUACUGACACUGAGGUGCGAAAGCGUGGGGAGCAAACAGGAUUAGAUACCCCCGUAGUCCCUGUCUCUUAUACC